GGCGGCGAGUGGCGAACGGGUGAGUAAUAUAUCGGAACGUGCCCAGUAGCGGGGGAUAACUACUCGAAAGAGUAGCUAAUACCGCAUACGCCCUACGGGGGAAAGGGGGGGAUCGCAAGACCUCUCACUAUUGGAGCGGCCGAUAUCGGAUUAGCUAGUUGGUGAGGUAAAGGCUCACCAAGGCGACGAUCCGUAGCUGGUUUGAGAGGACGACCAGCCACACUGGGACUGAGACACGGCCCAGACUCCUACGGGAGGCAGCAGUGGGGAAUUUUGGACAAUGGGGGAAACCCUGAUCCAGCCAUUCCGCGUGUGCGAUGAAGGCCUUCGGGUUGUAAAGCACUUUUGGCAGGAAAGAAAUCGCAUGGAUUAAUACUCUGUGUGGAUGACGGUACCUGCAGAAUAAGCACCGGCUAACUACGUGCCAGCAGCCGCGGUAAUACGUAGGGUGCAAGCGUUAAUCGGAAUUACUGGGCGUAAAGCGUGCGCAGGCGGUUCGAAAAGAAAGGUGUGAAAUCCCAGGGCUUAACCUUGGAACUGCACUUUUAACUACCGAGCUAGAGUAUGUCAGAGGGGGGUGGAAUUCCGCGUGUAGCAGUGAAAUGCGUAGAUAUGCGGAGGAACACCAAUGGCGAAGGCAGGUCUCUGGGCCAUUACUGACACUGAGGAGCGAAAGCGUGGGGAGCGAACAGGAUUAGAUACCC
rnacentral:rRNA from 1 species